rnacentral:rRNA from 1 species
AAUCCAUAGGUUAAUGAGGCGAACCGGGGGAACUGAAACAUCUAAGUACCCCGAGGAAAAGAAAUCAACCGAGAUUCCCCCAGUAGCGGCGAGCGAACGGGGAGGAGCCCAGAGCCUGAAUCAGCAUGUGUGUUAGUGGAAGCGUCUGGAAAGGCGCGCGAUACAGGGUGACAGCCCCGUACACAAAAGCGCAUGUGCUGUGAGCUCGAUGAGUAGGGCGGGACACGUGGUAUCCUGUCUGAAUAUGGGGGGACCAUCCUCCAAGGCUAAAUACUCCUGACUGACCGAUAGUGAACCAGUACCGUGAGGGAAAGGCGAAAAGAACCCCGGCGAGGGGAGUGAAAAAGAACCUGAAACCGUGUACGUACAAGCAGUGGGAGCACAGGUUUACCUGUGUGACUGCGUACCUUUUGUAUAAUGGGUCAGCGACUUAUAUUCUGUAGCAAGGUUAACCGAAUAGGGGAGCCGGAGGGAAACCGAGUCUUAAUUGGGCGUUAAGUUGCAGGGUAUAGACCCGAAACCCGGUGAUCUAGCCAUGGGCAGGUUGAAGGUUGGGUAACACUAACUGGAGGACCGAACCGACUAAUGUUGAAAAAUUAGCGGAUGACCUGUGGCUGGGGGUGAAAGGCCAAUCAAACCGGGAGAUAGCUGGUUCUCCCCGAAAGCUAUUUAGGUAGCGCCUCGUGAAUUCAUCUCCGGGGGUAGAGCACUGUUUCGGCUAGGGGGCCAUCCCGGCUUACCAACCCGAUGCAAACUGCGAAUACCGGAGAAUGUUAUCACGGGAGACACACGGCGGGUGCUAACGUCCGUCGUGAAGAGGGAAACAACCCAGACCGCCAGCUAAGGUCCCAAAGUCAUGGUUAAGUGGGAAACGAUGUGGGAAGGCCCAGACAGCCAGGAUGUUGGCUUAGAAGCAGCCAUCAUUUAAAGAAAGCGUAAUAGCUCACUGGUCGAGUCGGCCUGCGCGGAAGAUGUAACGGGGCUAAACCAUGCACCGAAGCUGCGGCAGCGACACUGUGUGUUGUUGGGUAGGGGAGCGUUCUGUAAGCCUGUGAAGGUGUGUCGUGAGGCAUGCUGGAGGUAUCAGAAGUGCGAAUGCUGACAUAAGUAACGAUAAAGCGGGUGAAAAGCC